rnacentral:sRNA from 1 species
AAAUCCUGAACUUCAGACAGGUCAUCCC